GGUGGAGGGGUGAGUUUGCUUAGGAAUCUGCCUAUUAGUGGGGGACAACAUUCCGAAAGGAAUGCUAAUACCGCAUACGUCCUACGGGAGAAAGCAGGGGACCUUCGGGCCUUGCGCUAAUAGAUGAGCCUAAGUCGGAUUAGCUAGUUGGUGGGGUAAAGGCCUACCAAGGCGACGAUCUGUAGCGGGUCUGAGAGGAUGAUCCGCCACACUGGGACUGAGACACGGCCCAGACUCCUACGGGAGGCAGCAGUGGGGAAUAUUGGACAAUGGGGGGAACCCUGAUCCAGCCAUGCCGCGUGUGUGAAGAAGGCCUUAUGGUUGUAAAGCACUUUAAGCGAGGAGGAGGCUACUAGUAUUAAUACUACUGGAUAGUGGACGUUACUCGCAGAAUAAGCACCGGCUAACUCUGUGCCAGCAGCCGCGGUAAUACAGAGGGUGCGAGCGUUAAUCGGAUUUACUGGGCGUAAAGCGUGCGUAGGCGGCCAUUUAAGUCAAAUGUGAAAUCCCCGAGCUUAACUUGGGAAUUGCAUUCGAUACUGGAUGGCUAGAGUAUGGGAGAGGAUGGUAGAAUUCCAGGUGUAGCGGUGAAAUGCGUAGAGAUCUGGAGGAAUACCGAUGGCGAAGGCAGCCAUCUGGCCUAAUACUGACGCUGAGGUACGAAAGCAUGGGGAGCAAACAGGAUUAGAUACCCUGGUAGUCCAUGCCGUAAACGAUGUCUACUAGCCGUUGGGGCCUUUGAGGCUUUAGUGGCGCAGCUAACGCGAUAAGUAGACCGCCUGGGGAGUACGGUCGCAAGACUAAAACUCAAAUGAAUUGACGGGGGCCCGCACAAGCGGUGGAGCAUGUGGUUUAAUUCGAUGCAACGCGAAGAACCUUACCUGGCCUUGACAUACUAGAAA
rnacentral:rRNA from 1 species